UUACGGUUUUGGUGUUUCGGUUAAACCGAAAAAUCGAAUUUUUGGGUAUUAGUUAAGAAAAAUAGGUUUGAGCAUGUGAGUUAUUUUGAGAGUCCAAAACUUAUUACCCAUUUCAGGCUGAAGCCAAUAGUCCAAUACCCAUUUGAACUUUGAAGCUCAAUUUACCCAAACUUACUGUACUGAUAGUCUGAUUAUACGUUACACACUUACACUUAGACCUUAGUCACUUACUUUUCAUUUCCCAAAACCUAAAUCAAAAAUUAGAUUUAGGGUUCUUCCUCAGCUCCUGUCUCUGCUGUGACUGCUGCCUUCUUCCUCAGCUCGGCUGUGACGCCUUCUUCCUCAGUUUGCAGCAUUUCCAGGCUUGUUUAUUGCAUGAUAACUGAGAAUAUAUCCUCAAAUACCUGGGCACCUUCUUGUAACAGUGGCAUGAUUCCUAAACGCAGAAGACAAGAAUGGGAUGCUGUCUUCUCAAGUGUAUCCCAGCUACGGCGAAAAAAUGUCUAAAUUUUUUGUUAGGGAUGUAGGAGGUUCUAACUUGCACUAACUAGUUCACACACUUUCUCCAUAUGUCUAUCGUGUGUCAAAUCUCAUCUGAAUUGGCCUUACUUCUUGAGUUUUAGUGCGGAGACUGCAUAGUUCAUAGCUUUUUGUUUGCCAAAGGAGUAGGCAAAAGUUGCUCACCUAAAUUAUGUUCAAGAUGUAGUAUGGCAUGUUCUUGGUCCCUCGAUUGUUUAGUUAAACUCUUAUUUAUUUUGAAAUUAGUUUCAAGACCUGCUUUA